rnacentral:rRNA from 1 species
UACGUAGGGGGCUAGCGUUGUCCGGAAUCAUUGGGCGUAAAGCGCGUGUAGGCGGCCAGACAGGUCCGCUGUGAAAACUCGAGGCUCAACCUCGAGAUGUCGGUGGAAACCGUCUGGCUAGAGUCCGGAAGAGGAGAGUGGAAUUCCCGGUGUAGCGGUGAAAUGCGCAGAUAUCGGGAAGAACACCCGUGGCGAAGGCGGCUCUCUGGGACGGUACUGACGCUGAGACGCGAAAGCGUGGGGAGCGAACAGG